rnacentral:rRNA from 2 species
AUUAAAUAAGAUUCCUUUAGUAGCGGCGAGCGAAACAGGAUUAGCCCAGCACUAAGUCAUCCAAUUUUUAUGAUUGGUAUGAGAUGCAGUGUAUGGAAAGUCUAUUAUCUGGUGUUGUAUUCAAUACGUUCAAGUCCAUCUUGAAUGGGGCCAAUAUAUCCACAGAGGGUGCCAGGCCCGUAGAAGCUAUUGUUUUGCAUCAGAAGGCUUUUCCAAAGAGUCGUGUUGCUUGAUAGUGCAGCACUAAGUGGGUGGUAAACUCCAUCUAAGGCUAAAUAUAACC